rnacentral:rRNA from 1 species
UGCCUACGGGACGCAGCAGUGAGGAAUAUUGGUCAAUGGGAGAGAUCCUGAACCAGCCAAGCCGCGUGAGGGAAGACGGCCCUAUGGGUUGUAAACCUCUUUUGUCGGAGAACAAAACCCGGGACGUGUCCCGGACUGCGUGUAUCCGAAGAAAAAGCAUCGGCUAACUCCGUGCCAGCAGCCGCGGUAAUACGGAGGAUGCGAGCGUUAUCCGGAUUUAUUGGGUUUAAAGGGUGCGUAGGCGGACGCUUAAGGCAGCGGUAAAAUUGCGGGGCUCAACCUCGUCGAGCCGUUGAAACUGGGUG